GAUAUGUUUUAUUCUGGUUUAAAAAUUUAUUUAAUUUAGAUUUUACAUGUAAAUUUUUGUGAGGAAAAAUAAAAUUUUAAAAAUUUUUAGUUAGUCGCAGUAUUUAGUUUUAUAAAUUAAAGAGAUUUAGAUUUAGGUAUAAAUUUGUAUUAUUGGUAAAAUUCGUGCCAGCUACCGCGGUUAUACGAUGAAUAAGAAUAAAUUUAUUUGAUUUGAAAGUUAAAGAGUAUAGUAAUAAAGUAAUUGAUUAUUGAUGUUAGGGUAAAAUUUAAGAUUAGUUUUUAAGUUUUAUGAGGAUUAUUGAAGCUUUGAAACUUUAAGUAAAGACUAGGAUUAGAUACCCUAUUAUGUAAAGUGUAAAAUUAAUAAAUCUGAGUAGUAAUAGAUAAGGUCUUGAAACUCAAAGAAUUUGGCGGUGUUUUAGUCUAUUCAGAGGAAUCUGUUCUGUGAUUGAUAAUUCACGAUUGGGUGUACUUAAUUUUUAGGAUUUGUAUACCGCCGUCAUCAGAAUAUUUUUGUAGAAAAUUUUCUAAAUAUUUAAGUAGAUUAUAUGUCAGGUCAAGGUGCAGUUUAUGAUUAAGUAGAAAUGGAUUACAAUAAAAAAAUUUAUAUGGAUUGAAAUUUUGAAGAUUUUUAGAAGGUGGAUUUGAUAGUAAUUUUAAAUUAAAUUUUAUAAUGAUUUUAAGCUCUAAAAUAUGCACACAUCGCCCGUCGCUCUCAUUUUUUAAAAUGAGAUAAGUCGUAACAAAGUAGGUGUACUGGAAAGUGUAUCUAGAAUGGA
rnacentral:ncRNA from 1 species